rnacentral:rRNA from 1 species
AGCUAUAAGUAGUUUAUUUUUAGUAAAACCUGCCCAGUGAUUUUUUUAACGGCCGCAGUACCAUGACUGUGCUAAGGUAGCAUAAUAAAUUGGCUUUUAAUUAGAGUCUGGAAUGAAUGGAUUUUUAAAGUUAAGCUGUCAUAAAUAAAUAUUAACUUUAACUUAUUUAUUUGGUGAAAAUACCAAAAUUUUUUUAAAAAGACGAGAAGACCCUAAGAAUUUAUAUUUUUUUUUGUUGGGGCGACAAAAAGACAUUUUUUAACUCUUUGUUUUAUUAUUUAUAUUUAACGAAAUUUUUUAAAAAUUAAACAAAUUACCUUAGGGAUAACAGCAUAAUUAGUUUUUUUCCUGUUUAUGACCUCGAUGUUGGACUAGAAUCUUUUUUAGCUAGCCGCUAAAAAAUAAUGUUCUGUUCCAACNAAUAAUUUCU